rnacentral:rRNA from 1 species
UACGUAGGGGGCAAGCGUUGUCCGGAAUCAUUGGGCGUAAAGAGCGUGUAGGCGGCUCGGUAAGUCCGCUCUGAAAGCCCGGGGCUCAACCCCGGGAGGCGGGCGGAUACUGUCGGGCUAGAGUCCGGAAGAGGCGAGUGGAAUUCCUGGUGUAGCGGUGAAAUGCGCAGAUAUCAGGAGGAACACCGGUGGCGAAGGCGGUUCUCUGGGAAUGUCCUGACGCUGAGGAGCGAAAGUGUGGGGAGCGAACAGG